rnacentral:tRNA from 1 species
GCCGAAAUAGCUCAGUUAGGAGACCAUUAGACUGAAGAUUUAAAGGUCCCUGGUUCGAUCCCGGGUUUCUGUG